rnacentral:lncRNA from 1 species
ACAAAAUCAAUAAUCGAUUACCUGACGGUAUUUGAAAACUUUACGACAACGGUCAGCUUCACAAUCGAUUGUACAAAGUUAACAAUCAAUUAUUUAUUAGUUUUUGAAAAACAUUUUAGACACUGCCUCUUGACAAUCAAUUGCACAAAGAUAUAAAUCGAUUAUUUAAUAACUUUGAAAAGUCUGGAAGACACUGUCUCAACACAAUAGAUUGUCAUAUGUUCACAAUCGAUUAUUUUAUGACUUUGAAAAAUCUGAUGGAC